ensembl:lncRNA
UAUGAAAAACUAAUACAUAAGCUUGUGCCCCAGUCAUAAUUUGUUGUUUUUUUUCUUUAUUUCAAGAGCCAAAAUGACCAGAAGAACUAGUCAUCCACCAAGCAGAAGUCUUCAUCUUCAUCUGGUAAUGACUAAGCAGGUUACAGCUUGCACAACUGAGGCUGGGAUCACAGCCACUAAACCGACAUGUCUGUCGCAACAGCUUUCUGAUCACAACGCCUUUAAAGACCUGUUCAAAUAAGGGCAUGAAGCCAUGCAGAGGGUUUGACCAUCACCAGCCUGCCCUCUAUAAAGGUGUCUUCUCCUUGUAGCUGCAUCCACUGCAGCAGCAUCUCGUCCUGAACAGAGCCUCCAGCAUCACUCAGACCUUUCUCCACCACUGCAGACAAACAGCUCCUGAAAGAGCGGAGCUGAUAAUCUGGUGAAUGACGAUGGCUGGUCCUUACUGGGUUUCUGUAGCCGUCGUUGUUUUGAUGAUCGUUACAAACGGUGAGACUGUUAUUGACCCAAACCAGCUUGCACCAAUUGUUCAAGAAAUUCUCAACAAGUACACACCAAGCUACAAGGGUGAAAACAACAUCAUAAGGUUUCCCAUGUUCAGUGUGGCUGUGAGCGUCCCGUACAAUGAAGGCAAGUUUGAUAUGAGCAAAGUCACUGAUUCUGGUGAAGCUGUGAGGAAGAAGAUUCUAAACUGUGACGUAUACCAAAGUGACAGAGUGGUGGCAGCCACAGUGCUGAAAUGGCCCAAUGUUCUCUAUCAGUGUCCUGAUGGAGAUGUACACUGGCCUGAGAUUUGGAAGAGAUGUCGUGGAAAGGGAAGAAAGACAUGGGCUGUUGUUCGAGACAAAUGUCCUGAAAAUGAAAUUGGGAUGGGUGAGGCUGAUCAUGCAGAGUUCCGAACCCUGCAGCAUUUUGAACUUUUACUCGCAACGAUCACAAAAUCCAAAACUGAUCUGAUGGUUUUCUAUGUCCGUGACUCCCCAUGUGAUCGAACAUGUACCAACCCAGGCAACGAUCGGAGAAUUCUCGAAAGUAUAAAACAGAUAAAGAAAUGGAAGAACAAUUAUGUUGUUGUGUUUUCAAAUAUAUUUAGACCUGAUAAUAAUAAUAAUAAUCGUGAGAAUGAACUGCGUGAAUCACUUGAGAGGCUUGGGGGUGCAAUCGCAGAUCAAGGGUCAAAGGUCAAAGAUAAAAGUUCAAAUGGUCUUCAGAACAUAUUCCGAUGCUACGGGCAGCCACAAAUGAAGUGCAUUAGCUGCAAUACCAAUGGUGCUGUUGCACAUAAAUGUGUUGCAGAUGGUUAGCAACCUGACAGCAAACUAUUUGAACAGUGUGUGUGGAGUGAGUGUAAUCCAUUUAUAGCCUCUGAUACUGUUUCUGAUUAAAGCUUAAUAAACUGCAUUAAAACAUGUCACAGCUUGGAUCUGCUCUGUCCUUCUUUUAAAGCUCGAUGUUGUAUUUUCUGUUUCUAUGAUUGAAUAUGAAGUUUGAGGUAAAGAUGCUGCAGGUUUUCUAUUCAUGGGUCACUCCACAGAAACUCUGGUCAUACAAACUGUCGGCUCCCAAAUUUUAAAGCCAACAUGAUAACCUUCUCCAGCCAGUGGUGUGGAGAUCCAGCUUUUUAGAUCCAAUUACAAUCCAAUCACUCAGAAGAUCCUCUGGAAACAAGACAACACAUAGCAAAGCAAGCUGGGCAAAGCCCGGGUGUAGAGCCCCGAUGUCACCUCUGACCCUCCAUAACUCCUCCUGCAGCUGCUGGGUAACUUUCCCCUCCUUGUCAUCCAGCCAAAAACAACACAUGCAGGUCAGGGGUCGGACCAGGCGCCAUCUUCAGGUGGGCCAGCUUUGCUUUGUCACAGUCAACUAUAACAUGGUUAAAGUUACACAUCGGUCCUAAUUAUUAAAUCACACUACAAGCAGCGUACAUCAACAGGUGGCAUAAACCUAUGAUAUAUAUGUGAAUAAUACUUGACCAAAGUUUAUGGGUCAUGUCACAAACCAUUUGAUUGCUGUUCCCAGGACUGCGCUCUUCUGGACAGAGAUCUCCGAUGUUGUUCCCGGGAUCUGCUGGAGCCACUCGCCUAGCUUGGGAGUCACCGCACCUAGUGCUCCGAUUACCACGGGGACCACCGUCACCUUCACCCUCCACAUCCUCUCUGAGCCCUUGGUAUUUCUCCAGCUUCUCGUGUUCCUUCUUCCUGAUGUUGCUGUCAUUGGGAACCGCUACAUCGAUCACUACGGCCGUCUUCUCAUGUUUGUCUACCACCACUAUGUCCCAGGGCCGUGCAGAGACGUUUAAAGGGGCGGGUGCUCAAAGUUAAAAAGGGGCACAUUGAACCAGGCUGAAUAACAACAACACACAUUCAUCAAGAAUCUAAUAUGGGAUCGCAUCAUACUACAUUACUGUUGUGAGGUGGCAACAAGGCAAAGCAAACGUAGCCUAUGUUUUACCUGAUGGGUACAAUGUUGCUGUUGAGGGGUUGCUGCUGCUCCUGCUGCUGAUAGUGCUGGAGGGCAGGGCUGUGCUGAUCUGAGACUGUAGACAUUAAAAUGUUCAUAGGAGAGAUGGUAGCUGAUUAAACAAGUGUUAUGAGAUAAUAACUAAAUGCAAAGAACAUAAGAAAAUGGGCUUGGAACCACAAAGCAACAAAAAACUGUGAGAAAUAAACAAGGCUCUGCCUGUGAAUCACACUGCUUCUCUUCUUCUUUCCAUCCCCUCAUUUCACAUAUCACUCUCCACUUGCUGUCUAUCUGAGAACAAGGCACAACUUGCUAUUGCAAUAAACUAUUAUAUAAUUAUCCACACCUAACAACUGCUGCAUUUAAUCUAUAAUAAAAUGAUGACAGAAAAAUGUUAUAGAAGCAAAACAUUCCAGUUGUGCUUAUUAUUAUUUUUAUACUGGAAUACCUCUCCAACAACUGGUACAUGUGUUAAUGUUACCUGUGCUCUUUGUAAUCCAGCUGCUGAGGGAUCCACUGCCUUUAGUAGCCUCACACAGCUCCUACUGUUUCCUCCUCAUGUCCUAACCAGUCAUGUCUGGACAAUGUUAUAUCAUGAGUAAUAAUUUAAAAAAUCCAUAUAAAUAAAACACACACAUGCACGCACACACAGGGACAUUUUAGACCUUCAGAAUACUGUAUAUAAUGUAGGCAUCAUGGUGCUGAUCCAGAAUCCUUCCAUUAUUAUUUAUUACUAGAGCUACAAUAAUAAAGCAAUGAGGGAAAAACAAUAAUAAAUAUGAAAUAAUGUCUUUAUGAUGAUUCCAUUUGUUUCACUAUCCACUCUGUGCAGGGAGAAAGCUUAUUACAUUUUUUAACUGUAGAGAUACAAAAUUUUACUGCUAUAAAAUCAGCAUUUUAAAAUAUAAAUCUACUAUAAUCUGUGUCUUAAUGUAUGUUCUUUAAAAUACAGCGUAUGUUUUUUAAAUAUUAUAAUUAUAAUAAUCCAUAAUUAUGUGGACAUGCAUAUUAGAUCGUUUUUAGUGAAAUAUAAUCCCUCCAGAAAGGCAGGAAAAGCCCUGUAACUUACUUUAAAACUAAAUAUGUUCCCUAACACGGUGACAGAGCUACAGACCCAUGACAGCCUUACCCAGUUAGCCAGCAGCUGUGACCAGCACUACUUGUGUAGUUAAUAAAAGGACAGGUAAUGUUUGUCGCGCUGUUGCAUACACAGCACGCUCAUUUGUUUCAGUUCGUCAGUUGUCACAAGACAGCUUACCAACGUGUACGUGAUAAGCUAAUACUGCUGUGUGCUGCAGACUACAGUGUGCGCUGUACACCUACUUACCGGUUUUGUCGCAUCAGUCUGUGUGCCUGAGGUAAUUUGUGUUCCUCCUACAGCUCCGGACCGCUAAAAAUGCGCGUGCUCUUUGUGAGCUCGUUCCCGGCUCGUAACCAGCGCGUUCUGCCGUCAAGGGCGAUCAUUGGUUAAUGGUGAUCAUGUGACUGAUGCAAGACAGAUCCUUUUAUUUAGCAAAUUGUGAUUAAUAGUUAAAUAUUAUUGUCGAGGGGCACAGACAGGACUCCACACACACACACACAUUUAAAAAAAAUAUAUAUAUAUUUUUUUUAAAAAGUUGCCUCAAGAAAAGGGCACUUUGGGCACCCAUCAGGAAAGGGGCAGGUGCUCAAGCACCUCUAGCACCCCCCUCUGCACGUGCCUGCUAUGUCCCACAGGAUCUUAGCUCGGUCAUUCUCCGCCACCCUUGGGGGCGUCUCCCAUUUUGACCUCAGGACUUCCAGGCCGUAUUCGGCACAGAUGUUCCUGUACACUAUGCCGGCCACUUGGUUAUGGCGUUCCAUGUAUGCCUUGCCUGCUAGCAUCUUGCACCCUGUUGUUAUGUGCUGGAUUGUCUCAGGGGCAUCUUUACACAGCCUGCACCUGGGGUCUUGCCUGGUGUGAUAGACCCCAGCCUCUAUGGAUCUUGUACUCAGAGCUUGUUCCUGUGCUGCCAUGAUUAGUGCCUCUGUCCCCGGCCCCCUUCCUUCUGCUUAGCGUACAGCCUCAGGGUGCUGGACUUGGGGUGAAACCCUCCAUGCAUGGUCAGGAGCUUCCAGGUCAUCAAAAAAAUCCACAACAAACCUGCUUAAAUUUUCCCCUUCUUAUAAAUCUCACACUUUUCAUGGUAACAACUAGCUUCAUCUGCACUGAUUACAUGAUUAAAUAUUUUUCUCACUUUUCUGAUUCAAAAUAUGUGUUCAUGCAGCUUUUUGCUUGCUGUUGUCCGUGUCAGAGUUUGGGCUCGUCCUUCUUACUGAUGCUAAAAAGCUUAUGACAUGUAUUUGUGUAUUUGUUGUGCUGCAGGAUAUAAAAUACUAAAGUUGAUGAAUGAGGUUCAUCUCAUAGUAACUAUUUCACUGUUUCUCUGGUUUGUUGGAUGUAUGAUGGCAGUAAUGUGGUUUAUUGUUAGAAAACUGGAGGCUAGAACAAAUUUCAGAGGGCUGAGGCUUCCAGCUCAUAACCAGGCACCAACACACAGUCUGAUAUGAGGUCACCAGCAGGAGGACAGGACACUAACUUUCACAUCACAGGAGCUGCUCAGCUGACACUGCAGCAGGAGGCGGAGCUCCGCAGGUUACAGGAAGUGAGUCAGAAGCACAUUUACUCUGACACACGCUCAGUUUCAACACCUGUUGGGCUCUUCGCCUUCUCUUUUCUUUUCAAACAAACGUUAGUGUGAGUUUGUCAGAGUUCCCCAUCAACACAGCAGAGUGUCUGCGGUGAGUACGGCUCAUGUCUUUAAACAUUCAUGAAAACAAAGCUGAUCUUUGCAUCUUUUAGCUUCUCAAACAGAUUUUUUCUGAUGGAAUAUUUCAUGCAGAUUUCAGUCUUUGUAUUUUAGUUCUUUGCAUCAUGUAGAGCUCAGUAAACUCAUUUAUCUUAAAGAGAACCUGUUUGAAGGCUCAUAUUUCAGCCGCUCAUCCUCCUCGCCUGAGCUCACUCUGUCAUGUUUGCUUAGCUUUCACAAGACUUGUUCAAACUGCUUCAUGAG